rnacentral:lncRNA from 1 species
CUGAAAUUAAGACCAAAUACUACAUCAUCAAGUUGAACAGAAUGCAAAUGUUAAGCAGGAUAGAACUCUUACUCCUGUAAGCAUCUUUUGUGAAUUUCUAGUAAUCUAGAUAAAUAGUGCUUCCAAUACACGAACACGUGUAUGCCCCAAGUAGCAUGUGCAUGAAAAAGCAUGUCUAUGCACCACAUAUGGAGAUACAUGCGCACUGGGAACAGUGAUUCAUGUGCACCAGAAAAUGAAAUCAACAAAAAGAAAGCUGAGAUUUUUGAUAUCGGAUAACAACUAACAAGGAAAAAGUCAUAUGCCAACAACAUGAUCAGAUGGCACUUGUUUGACAGUAUUUUUAUUAGUCCAAGAAAAAUGCACUCAUCAAAAAUGGAUAAAAAGAAAUCAUACAAUGUGCACCAGAAAAUGAAAUCAAUAAAAGAAAUUCGAAAUCAAAUAACAACUAACAAGGAAGAAGUAAAAUGCCAACAACAUGAUCAGGUGGCACUUGUUUGACAGUUGAAAUUUUCCUAGUGCAAGAAAAAUGCACUCAGCAAAAAUGGAUAUAAAGGAAUCAUACAAAAAUCCUAGGGCCCGUGGCCCAUGAAUCACUACAGAAGGUGAUUAAUGAAAUGAAGUGCUUAUAUGUCAUCAUAAAAUAUAAUAGGAAAGAGUGUUCACAAACAAAAAGAAAACAUACCAGUCCCGAUAACACUUCAAGCACAAAGAAUGGCUGCAAUUAGGCAAUACAACCCUGCUGUUCAUCUCCAAGCAAAUCCCGCACUCCUCUUCUCUUUCUAAGUCAAUUUCAGAGCUCUUCCCCCUUUCCAAUUCAUCCUUCUUUCUGUAUCUGAGAGUACACAGAUCCUUCUGUUUCCGAUCUUCCAGAUCAGUGAUACCCCUUUGAAGUUGCAACAAAGAAGGAAAUAUCACCCCUGUUAAAAGCAAUAUCAGUUAGGUUUACAGGCUAACUAUAAGCAAAAGGGUUACACCAACAUAAAGAAAUGGCCCACAAUUUAAAAUAUUUUUAGCUUCUCCAAAUCACACUCACCAUAAAAUUCUCGGAUGCUUGCUUUCCUUUCAUGAACAGACAUAGUGGUCUUGCCGUCAGCAUAGGUCUAUAAUCAAAGUCACUGAAGUUAUAAUUUUGCAGGCAACAAAAUGACAAACUGAAAUGAUCAACACAGGCAUGUAUUGAUUAAUUAUCAUACCAUAUAAAUAAGAACUCGAAGCAAACCAAGGGCACCAGCGAGGUGACAAUCAGUCCACUGAACAAGAAAAAGGAAAAAUUGAGCAGCAGGACUGUAUGACAGUCUCAUUUGAAGACGAGCUCCAUCCGUCUCCCUCGGGUAAUCUAAUGCCCUGCGAAUAACAAGAGAAACAAAAAGCACAAUACUCAAUUAGCAAAUAUACAAAACCAAUAACUCCAAAUACUAAAAACUGUUUAACAAAGGUAAAAAUCAACCGAGAUUGUACCUUUAAUGCAAAGUUUCAACUAAAACAUUAAAUUUUAAACAUGAAUACAAUUAAUACUUUUUAUGUGUCAAAAACAUUCAAAGAACCAAAUUUUACAAGAACAAAAGUUGCGAUUUUUACUUGAAUAAUAAUGUCGCAAGUGACGAAAAAAAAAAAUCUAAAACGCGCAUGUUUGAAGAGCAAAAUGAUAUCGUGAUUAAUUAACAAAUAUAAAGACACCUAAAUAAACAAAAAAAAAAAAAGUACUUAGAAAAUAAAAUUUUAAAAUUUGAUCGAUAAUAAAAAAAAAAAUCCAGGAAUUGAGAGAGUUACAGUGUGUUGGCGUGCUGAAUAUCAGCUUCGAGCGCUUUCAGUGAAUCCUUGAAAGACGAUUUUCCCAUGGCCGGGUAUUUUCCCGGAAACUAAUUCCCAUCAACCAAACAGAAAUUCCAAUAGAAAAUUUAUAACUAAGAAAAAAAUUUGUGGCUUUAUGAUUUUUUCAAAAAGAAAUCUUGAUUGAUAGAAUCGGACUUCGGAGACAAGCCAGUACAGUUUCAGGCGCUACCUUAAAACACUGUCUGUUAUGAAUCGUUGAAACUUCUUAUUAGCAGAAGAAAAAGUGGGUCUGCAAUUACGUACUUGCCCUUUAAUGAACAAACCAAUUAUGUGCGAGUCAUAAGUCAAAUUCAUCUAUAGAAUAAAAAUUCAUGUAAAUUAAAUAAUAUAAAUAAAUAAAUCACAAGUCUUAUAACUGAAGCAUUGACCUUUAUUAAAAAAAUUCAGAAAGCAUGACUUCGCUGUGGGUAUCGGUGUCUUUAUAUUUUAAUGAUACUGAAAAUUUAUUAAGAAUAAAAAUAAAAGAAUUAUAAGUUCAAUGUUAUUUAUGAGUGAUAUUUUGGAAGAUCUCAAAAUUUUUCAUGCAGAUAUUUUCUAUUAAGAAGAUAUGGCUUAUUUCUAAUAGAUAAAAAUCAUUUAUUGAAAGAUACAAAUUAGGUAAACAAUUAGUCACAUAGUAUCCCUACGACAAAUAUAGGAAUUAUGGAAAUAUAGUAUAUGAAUAAAACUCAAACAAUUUAAUUAUAGUAUACAUAAAUAUUAUGAAGAAUGAAAUUAAAAUAGAUAUCUAUAACUCAGUCACGAAUAUAUUAUCCAUAAUAUUUUUAAUAUUUCAAUACAUUUUAGAUCAACCCGAUACAUAUUAAAAGACUUGAAUCCUUGAAUUUUUAUUUUAUUUUUUAUUUUAUAGGGAAUCCUUGAAUUCAUUAGUGAGAAUUUAGGUGACAAACUCUAGACCUAGAAAGUGGUUGUAGGCGACGAAAAUGACCUAUUUUAUUAUUACAAUUUAAUUGUUUAGAUGGUAUAGGGACAGAAAUGGAAUUUCAGAGAAGUAUCCUUAAAUUUCUGGAAGAAACGGUAGCGUAGCAGGUACCUGCAGGCUGCGGUGAUGUGUGUGACGUGGCGAUUAUAGGCUGAUAAUCAAAUCAAGGGCAGUGGAAAGCGGUUUAUGGAGAAAAGGGCAAUACCCGUUGGCGCGGCCUCAGUUUUUCCCAUUUAUUUAAUAAACAACGGCAUAAUUGUAAACAGCCGUCCUCCCAUCCAGACUACCGCUAAUUAAACGAUUAUUAUACAACUGGAAUGAAUAAGAUAGGAAUUGGAUAAGAUAUGCGUCCUAGUCAAACAUGGAGGUUUUGAAGUUUACUUUGGUUGGAGCUACAUACACACCCUCUUUCUCUCUCUGACACACGCAUAUAUGAACAAAUAAGACAGUCAAUCUGAGAGUCUUUUUAAGGUAGUAUGCAUAUUGCACUCUGAACCAAAAAUAAUAUAAAAUUAAGAAUGGUUCUCUCUCACUUUGCUAUUUCAAAGAUUAUAUUAAGGAGCCACUUGGGCUUGUAGUUCAGUGGUAGACCAUUGCCCUCAAAGUUAAGUAUAACUAUAAGGGCAAUGGUUCGAGUCCCUACAGACUCAAGCUCUCUCAAUUAAAUAUAAUUGUGUAGAGAUUUCUUAUAAUGUCUUUCUCCUUUGCGAAAUGCGAGUGGAGUAGAGACAUCCCUCUUCCGUGAGGGGUAUUUGGAUGGGCAUGUACUUCAUAGAAUAAAAAUGUAAUAAUAUAAGUCCCAUAUAUAUAUAUCUGAUUAUAUCAAUGUAAUGACCUGCUGUCAUAGCAGUUGUAUAUAUCUCUGUGUAAUACAGUAACCUGAUGCUUAAUCAGUUUCAAAAAAAAAAAAAGAUUAUAUUAAGGAGGGCCUAGAAAUAUUGCCUAUAAAGUUCGUAUUACAACUUAUAUAACAUAUGCAUGACUUUUCACUUGAAUCGAGACAAUUUAUCUCUCCUUUAUAAACAUAAGAUUAUAGUUGGAAUAAAAACUCUAGAUUCCGAGAAACUCAAUAAACAUAUCCGUUAAGAAUAAAUAUGGAAACAAGCAAGCAUGGGCUCUCUGUUCUUAAUGUAAAUAAUAAGAAUCAAAUGGAUAUGGUCAACGCUAAUUACCUGUUAAAAGGAAUGGAGUACUGUUUUUAAUCAUUUCCAAUUUGUGAACAAGAGAAGUCGGCUUUUAAGGGCUGUCAUCAUUAUCCACUUUAUAUAGUCUAAUAAGAGUGGAGAAAUUUGACGUUUGGUGGCCAAGUGAUUUGAACACUAUUAUAAUUUGAUCAUCAAAGGCAGAAGAAGAUAAGGAGAAAGACAAGACAAAGAGAAUCUACAAAAGUACUACCAACUUGUUUUACUAAAUUUAGUUUAAAGUAAAUUCAGAGAUUUGAAUUAAAUUAGUGCUUACUUUUAUUGACCGGCAACCCUUCUAUGACCCGAAAUACUAUCAACAUCGAGUUACAGAAGGAAUGAAGAUAGGGCUUAAAGUUUCAUUGAACUUGUACAUGGAAGUUGGCUUACCAUUAGUACUAAAACCAUGUGCGAUACUUGUAUUCUUGCCCCUGCAAAAAUGAGCACCAAGUGAAGCAAUAUUAGCCAAGCAUUUAUAGCAUAUAUUUUUCUUGAGAAACAUUUCAAACUUCCAUUGACAUAUGAUUCUAUUACCUGUUAAUGAAACGGGCUGUGGAUGGAUAUUGCUCUGCAAUUAUGAAGAUAUGAAGAGAGCAAUGCUUUUAUUUUUUAUUACCAAGCUGCAAUACUUUGACUAGACUUUUUACUACUAUAUUAGUUUAAACCCAACACCAUGAUGUUGAUCUGGUGCCGGCUUUUAUAGCUAUUCUUGAUUCUUAGGCUUUAGAGCUACAGCCUAAUAUCUAAUAAAGAACACAGGCAAUUGCCAGCUUAUGAAUCUCGUCUACCAUACCGCCUCUUCCUUUGCUGAAAUGAAGUUAAUGCGUCUACAAACUCGGCUUUGCCAAAAUCAGGCCAAAGUGUCUGUACGAAGAAAAACUCGGUGUAUGCCAACUGCCAGAGUAAGAAGUUACUAACUCUUAGUUCACGACUGGUUCUAAUCAAUAUGCCCGGGUAUGGGUAAUCAGUACAGCUGGUUUCUAGUUCUUGCUCAAUCAGGCUUUUAUCGAUGUCGUCCCGUCGAACAACAUCGUCCUUCACUUUCUGUGCAAUACUUUUGCAAGCCUGUACAACAUCAUAUUUCCCGCUGUAGCUAACUGCCACAAUGAGUUGGAAAUUUGAGUUAUUUUUUGUUCUAUCCUCUGCAUCACUUACAAGUUCCUGGAGAGUCUUUGGGAGUCUCGAUGAAUCCCCAAUCAUAGAUAUUCGAAUACCUUCGCUGUUAAAGGAAAAGACACAUCUAUAAGGUACAUGAACUCAACAUCCGGACAGAAAAUUCCAAAGCGAUUUUCUUAAUUAGUAGUUUGCUAAACUAAAUGAUUUAAAAAGUCCAUAUAGUUUCUUAAUUAGUUGUGGCAAUCAUUUUUAAUUUUGGUGCUGAAACGUAUUGUUUUAGUCUUUGUAAAUAAUAAUAACUCAAUAUACCAGAAAAUCUAGUAGACAACUAGAGAAGUUAUAUAAAUAAACCAGAAGCAUGUGCAACAGAAUCCGUUUACUUGUGAGAACCUUCUCAUAGAAAGUAAUAACCUGCAACUGCAAGAGCUACUUCAGGCCAAUAUAUAAUACGACUACUAAAAGUCAAACAAGCAUAGAACUAUUUGCAGAUGCUUCUUGUUCUCAAUUUGGUCAUCAAGGGAAUGAAAACAUGUUAGGGAUAUAAAUACAGUAUAUAGAGUUGACAUGUCUAUUUUGAGAAACAGAAACAUAACUUCCAAAAGAAAACACUUUCGAUGUUUUCAAAAUUAAGAUAAAGCACAACUGUUAUAAUAUACUGAAAAAAAUUAUGGAAC